AGAGUUUGAUCCUGGCUCAGGAUGAACGCUAGCGGCAGGCUUAAUACAUGCAAGUCGAGGGGCAGCACGGUUAGCAAUAACUGGUGGCGACCGGCGCACGGGUGCGUAACACGUAUACAAUCUACCUUAAACAGGGGGAUAGCCUUUCGAAAGAGAGAUUAAUACCCCGUAAUAAAUUGAACGGCAUCGUUUGAUUUUGAAAGCUCCGGCGGUUUGAGAUGAGUAUGCGUCUGAUUAGCUAGUUGGUGAGGUAACGGCUCACCAAGGCGACGAUCAGUAGGGGAUCUGAGAGGACUAACCCCCCACACUGGUACUGAGACACGGACCAGACUCCUACGGGAGGCAGCAGUAAGGAAUAUUGGUCAAUGGAGGCAACUCUGAACCAGCCAUGCCGCGUGCAGGAUGACGGCCCUACGGGUUGUAAACUGCUUUUAUACAAGAGAAAACCCUGGUACGUGUACCAGGUUGAUAGUAUUGUAAGAAUAAGCAUCGGCUAACUUCGUG
rnacentral:rRNA from 1 species